rnacentral:rRNA from 1 species
UACGGGAGGCAGCAGGGGGAAUAUUGCACAAUGGGCGCAAGCCUGAUGCAGCCAUGCCGCGUGUAUGAAGAAGGCCUUCGGGUUGUAAAGUACUUUCAGUCGUGAGGAAGGUGUUAAGGUUAAUAACCUUAGCAAUUGACGUUAGCGACAGAAGAAGCACCGGCUAACUCCGUGCCAGCAGCCGCGGUAAUACGGAGGGUGCGAGCGUUAAUCGGAAUUACUGGGCGUAAAGGGCACGCAGGCGGUUAAUUAAGUUGGAUGUGAAAUCCCCGGGCUUAACCUGGGAAUGGCAUUCAAGACUGGUUAGCUAGAGUCUUGUAGAGGGGGUAGAAUUCCAUGUGUAGCGGUGAAAUGCGUAGAGAUGUGGAGGAAUACCGGUGGCGAAGGCGGCCCCUGGACAAAGGCUGACGCUCAUGUGCGAAAGCGUGGGGAGCAAACG